AUGGAGGCUCUCGAAGAUGACAUAGCAAAGGGGGGUCACGAAUGGGCUGGCAGCUCCUGCAGCACCAGGCUCAGGCUGAUCCACCACAGAGGGCAGAAAAACUGCUGGCGCCGCCAGGGCCGCAGGUCUGGGUCACUCCACAGCUGAACACACGAAAUGCUAUGCCACUGGGGGGCGGGGCAGAAGGCGAGGAGUGGUAUGAGCGUCUGCAGCCAUCAAUCACGAUGGCGAGAAGAGACGGGAGGCAGCCUCAAGCUGGCUUUUUCGCUGCCCCUGCCGAUCCCUGGAUUGACUUCGCUGUUAAGGGGGAGGCACUGCGACAAUACUGAAGGCAUCAAAUAUCUCCUCGGCCUGGAGAAGGAAAGCUUGUCUAAGAGGUGUCACGGUGAAACACGAGAUGGGACAUGCAGAUGCGCCUGGGACAAAAGAGGAGUAAUUCACAAUUUACCGGCACGAGACAGAGAAGGCUGGAGAAUGUUAAAAAACAAAGAAAUACCACUUCAGCAAAUCAGCUUUUCCAAAGUUAGACAGCCUGCCAUCAAAGGCACCUGCACUCUCACAGGCUGAGGGAUGUGGACUGAGGCUGGUUCCCAUGGACUGAGUGCACCUCCUAAGGUCUGGGCAGGAUCUCCAGUUUAGCUCAGAAAGGGCGACCUGAAUCCAAAGAAGACUUUGGAAACUGGGGGCCCCACACAAAGAGGAAACCGGAGGGGCUGAGAUGCAGAGCCUCGUUGAAACCAUACUCCAGAGUCCCUCAUUGCACUCAUGUUCUCUUUUUGCCUUCUCUGACCCAAACCCUCAGAGCGGGCUGCUGACUGUGUGGGCCUCAUACAGACGGAAGAAAACAACUGAGGAAUUAGUGGCGCAGACUUGCAUUUCCAUUACUUAUUAAAAAAUAAAGCACACGCAAAGUAUUCAAUACUUGAACUUUACUUGAGUGCAUUCCUUCAUUACUGUACCGCUAACAAUGCUGUACUGUUAUUCUGACAGGGCUAUUUAAUAUGUUUUGAAACAUGAAAUGUUUCAUAUUGUGUUUUACUCAUUUGCUUGCAUGACGAUCUGCUAUUAAAUAUCUGUUAU